rnacentral:rRNA from 1 species
CCUACGGGAGGCUGCAGUGGGGAAUAUUGGGCAAUGGAGGCAACUCUGACCCAGCAACGCCGCGUGAGUGAUGAAGGUCUUCGGAUUGUAAAACUCUUUAAGUGGGGACGAAGAAAGUGACUGUACCCACAGAAUAAGCCUCGGCUAACUACGUGCCAGCAGCCGCGGUAAUACGUAGGGGGCAAGCGUUAUCCGGAUUUACUGGGUGUAAAGGGAGCGUAGACGGCGACGCAAGUCUGAAGUGAAAUGCCAGUGCUCAACACUGGAACUGCUUUGGAAACUGUGUGGCUAGAGUGCAGGAGAGGUAAGUGGAAUUCCUAGUGUAGCGGUGAAAUGCGUAGAUAUUAGGAGGAACACCAGUGGCGAAGGCGGCUUACUGGACUGUAACUGACGUUGAGGCUCGAAGGCGUGGGGAGCAAACAGGAUUAGAUACCCUUGUAGUC